rnacentral:lncRNA from 1 species
ACACAAAAUAAUCACAAUAUGUAAUCAGGAUAUCACAGGAAACUAACUGACAGAAAAUUCUCAUACAUUGAAAUAGUAAAACAGAUUACAACUCCACACUAAAUUUCAACACAUAAUUCACGAGAAGUAAUCUGAAGUUUUACAAACCACUAGCUGAUGAACAUGGCAUAAAAUAUUGAACUAGUACAAAAUAUAGUUGAUCACGUCUCCACAGUAACUGUUCACAAAAUUACACAAUGAGAGAGAUGCAGUUUAACAGUAGCAGAGGUUCAGCAAGGAGAGAAGGUGCAGCAGCAGUGAGAGAGCAUCAGUUCUUUUGGGGAAAGGUAGUAGCAGCCAGCAGGGAUGUGGGAGAGGAGCAGCAGAGAGGUAGAGAGCAACAGCGGUGGGAGCAUUGAGAUAGGAGCAGCGAGGGUUGAGAGAAGGGAAGUAGCAGUUGGCAAGUGGAGGUUGAGAUUCAGAGAAGGCAGAGAGCAUGCAGCAAAGUUUGGGUGAAGAAGAGAGGUGGAGGAGCAGCAAGGGGGCGCUGGAGAAGAAAGAAGCAGAAGUCUAGGUUUGAGGGCGGGCACCAGCAGGUUGAAGGAGGAGGAAUAGCAGCGGUGAGAAAAGAGCAGCAGCAGUAGGGAGAUGGCUGUAGGCGCGGCGGCGGCGGCUGAGAUUGAUGUAUGUUGUGGUGGACGGGGUGUUGGAGGCCGCUGGUGCUGUGGACGGAGGGGUAAGGUAGGGUGGCUGGGACGCGCACCACCACGACGGCCUGGCCAUGGCGUCGGCCGGAGGUGGAGAAGGAGGGUGAGGGAAAGAGAGAAGUGCCAGGCCCGAUUUGGGAAUGGAGGCUGCUAGGGAUUUUGAUCCCCUCUUCACAUCUGCACCUUUGCAUUUUGGCCCUCCUAAUUCUCUUCUUUUGCCUCAAGUAGAUCCCCAUUCUUUUUUAGCAAUCCCCCCUGGGUCUUUAAUUCUUCAUAAUCAGUCCCUCCUCUUAUUAUUUCCCUUAGUCUCAUAGUCGGAAUCAUGAAGUUUAUAGUGCCUUUGCGCACUUUUCUGCAAAAGAAACAAAUGACUAGUAAAUGUUCCCUUUUUAUGAUUAUCAUGCAAACAGUCAAUCAAACAUAGCAAGAAUGGAUGAAUAGAUCACAAUAGAUGGUAUAUUUGAGUGCGAAUUAUAUAUGUGAAAUAUACUUAUCAAGUUCCCGCACACUUAAAUCUUUGCUUGUCCUCAAGCAAAGGAAUAUGACAAAGGCAAGAUAGUGAAUAGUAAACUGAUAAAGAAUGUCCUAGUAAAAUAGAUCUCCGAAUGAUGCAUGCUUUGGACUUAGCUAGUGAAAAUUAAUGGUUAGGAGUGCUUUAAAGCGGCAGGAUACUAGUAGACUUGACCAUUUUAAACUUUUAUAAAGAUAAAAGAAUAUCAGCCAGUUUAAAUGUGGAUUGUGCCACAAGGUUCCUAAAGAGAGCAUGAUCCCGAGAGACACCUAUCACUAGGAACACAACAUUGUGGUAGAACCACUUAUUGGAUUUGAAGGAAGCAACAAAGAUAAUAUUUUACUGGUCUCACCAAAGGAACAUACCACCGAUCCCACGGACAGGCCGUCGUGCUGGUGCGCCUUCCAAAAUGAUCGGGUGUAAGUACAGUGGGGUAUUUCGCCCAAAUCUGCAAGUGUGUCAUGUUCUCCAUAGGGACUAGGCACAUCAGCGUCUAUGCUCAGUUAAAUCUAGAUAAUACAAUUCAAAUGAUGAUUGAGGGAAAUAAACCUAAACUAUCAUAUUUCAUAAAAAACGUCGACAAAGAAGAUGCAAACAAGCAUAGGGGGGAUAAGAAUGCAAUCACUGUAUUUUUGGUAUUUUUUUAGGCUUGAGAAAUUAGAAACUAACAUAAAGGGAAACGACAGGACAUGAACACAUAUAGCAUAAUAGAUAUGUUUCGCAUUACAAACAUAUUUGUCACAGGGACAAAGCUAUCACAUGGAAUGGACUUUAAAUGUUCAUACAUCUCACUUCUACAGAGAGCCACAUCAACACAAAAUAAUCACAAUAUGUAAUCAGGAUAUCACAGGAAACUAACUGACAGAAAAUUCUCAUACAUUGAAAUAGUAAAACAGAUUACAACUCCACACUAAAGUUCAACACAUAAUUCACGAGAAGUAAUCUGAAGUUUUACAAACCACUAGCUGAUUAACAGGGCAUAAAAUAUUGAACUAGUACAAAAUAUAGUUGAUCACGUCUCCACAGUAACUGUUCACAAAAUUACACAAUGAGAGAGAUGCAGUUUAACAGUAGCAGAGGUUCAGCAAGGAGAGAAGGUGCAGCAGCAGUGAGAGAGCAGCAGUUCUUUUGGGGAAAGGUAGUAGCAGCUAGCAGGGAUGUGGGAGAGGAGCAGCAGAGAGGUAGAGAGCAACAGCGGUGGGAGCGUUGAGAUAGGAGCAGCGAGGGUUGAGAGAAGGGAAGUAGCAGUUGGCAAGUGGAGGUUGAGAUUCAGAGAAGGCAGAGAGCAUGCAGCAAAGUUUGGGUGAAGAAGAGAGGUGGAGGAGCAGCAAGGGGGCGCUGGAGAAGAAAGAAGCAGAAGUCUAGGUUUGAGGGCGGGCACCAGCAGGUUGAAGGAGGAGGAAUAGCAGUGGUGAGAAAAGAGCAGCAGCAGUAGGGAGAUGGCUGUAGGCGCGGCGGCGGCGGCUGGGAUGGAUGUAUGUUGUGGUGGACGGGGUGUUGGAGGCUGCUGGUGCUGUGGACGGAGGGGUAAGGUAGGAUGGCUGGGAGGCGCCCCACCACGAUGGCCUGGCCGUGGCGGCGGCUGGCGGUGGAGAAGGAGGGUGAGGAAAAGAGAGAAGUGCCAGGCCCGAUUUGGGAAUGGAGGCUGCUAGGGAUUUUGAUCCCCUCUUC